GGAAUAUAAGAAAUGGUCUUUUAACUUUUAACUAAAAAAACUAAGAAUCGACUCUUAAAUAAGAUAUUUAAGAACCGGUUCUUAGCUUUUUUAGUUAAAAGUUAAGAGACGGUUUCUUAUAUUCC
rfam:Brassica oleracea var. oleracea cultivar TO1000 chromosome C3, whole genome shotgun sequence